AUACGGAGGAUGCAAGCGUUAUCCGGAUUUAUUGGGUUUAAAGGGUGCGUAGGCGGAUGAUUAAGCGUGAGGUGAAAUGCCACUGCUCAACAGUGGAACUGCCUCGCGAACUGGUUGUCUUGAAUGCUCCUGCCGUGGGAGGAAUGUGUGGUGUAGCGGUGAAAUGCAUAGAGAUCACACAGAACACCGAUUGCGAAGGCAUCUCACGAAGGGGCGAUUGACGCUGAGGCACGAAAGCGUGGGGAUCAAACAGGAUUAGAUACCCUGGUAGUCCACGCAGUAAACGAUGAUAACUAACCGCUGGGGCGUAGUGAUUCAGUGGCCAAGCGAAAGCGAUAAGUUAUCCACCUGGGGAGUACGACCGCAAGGUUGAA
rnacentral:rRNA from 1 species